rnacentral:rRNA from 1 species
UGUGUAGGCGGUUGGAUAAGUGUGGUGUGAAAUCUCCCGGCUUAACUGGGAGGGUGCGCUACAAACUGUCUGACUAGAGUGUGGGAUGGGAGAGUGGAAUUCCUGGUGUAGCGGUGAAAUGCGUAGAUAUCAGGAGGAACACCGGUGGUGUAGACGGCUCUCUGGACCAUAACUGACGCUGAGACACGAAAGCGUGGGUAGCAAACA